rnacentral:rRNA from 1 species
AUCUACAGCCAUGCCACCCUGAACAAGCCCGAUCUCGUCUGAUCUCAGAAGCCAAGCAGGGUUGGGCCUGGUUAGUACUUGGAUGGGAAACCACCUAGGAAGACCAGGUGCUGUAGUGU